UGCGAAGGCACUUCUCAAGUAUACCUUCAUCAAUCAAGAACUAAAGUGUGGAGAUCGAAGAUGAUUAGAUACCAUUGUAGUCCACGACUGCAAACGAUGACGCCCAUGGAUCGGACAGAGUUCUACUCCGAUGGGAUCUUUUCGGCACUGCUCCCCUUCAACGCGAAAGCUGAGGCUAUGGUCUCAUGGGGAAGUACGUUCGCA
rnacentral:rRNA from 1 species